GGGCCCGCACAAGCAGUGGAGUAUGUGGUUUAAUUCGAAGCAACGCGAAGAACCUUACCAGGUCUUGACAUCGAGUGACGAACUAAGAGAUUAGUUUUUCCUUCGGGACACGAAGACAGGUGGUGCAUGGUUGUCGUCAGCUCGUGUCGUGAGAUGUUGGGUUAAGUCCCGCAACGAGCGCAACCCUUACCUUUAGUUGCUACGCAAGAGCACUCUAAAGGGACUGCCGUUGACAAAACGGAGGAAGGUGGGG
rnacentral:rRNA from 1 species